UUAGGUCUGCAAACAGAGAAAUCAAACCAGGCGAGUUGCGUGCGUCUAUAUGGGGAGAAACUAUGGGGACCCACGUACUGGAUCUGAAACCUGAAUCAAUGCAAAUCAAAUUUAUCAGUGGGUAGUACUAAUAGUACUACCAUGAAUGAAAUGGUGUUAAAGCUUUUGAACGAAGCUCUCUUCCACUUCUUCUUCUUCUUUUUAUUCAGUUCAACUUAAUCAAAGGACGUGACGGAAAGGCGGGAGAUUCCACCUAAAGGCUGUGCGGACUGCAGGAUCGUCUAGGAGACUUCAUCACUCUGGUGCGGCUCUGAGUUGAUAACUUUGAUGAUUGGGCACAUGCUAUCCGUGUGGCUUUGUCCUCUCGGCGCAAGUACGGCUUUCUCGACGGUACGAUC